rnacentral:rRNA from 1 species
GAUGAACGCUAGCUACAGGCUUAACACAUGCAAGUCGAGGGGAAACGACAUCGAAAGCUUGCUUUUGAUGGGCGUCGACCGGCGCACGGGUGAGUAACGCGUAUCCAACCUGCCCAUCACUUGGGAAUAACCUUGCGAAAGUAAGACUAAUACCCAAUGACAUCCCACGAAGACAUCUGAAUGGGAUUAAAGAUUUAUCGGUGAUGGAUGGGGAUGCGUCUGAUUAGCUUGUUGGCGGGGUAACGGCCCACCAAGGCAACGAUCAGUAGGGGUUCUGAGAGGAAGGUCCCCCACAUGGGAACUGAGACACGGUCCAAACUCCUACGGGAGGCAGCAGUGAGGAAUAGUGGUCAAUGGGCGAGAGCCUGAACCAGCCAAGUAGCGUGCAGGAUGACGGCCCUAUGGGUUGUAAACUGCUUUUAUAAGGGAAUAAAGUGGGUCUCGUGAGACUUUUUGCAUGUACCUUAUGAAUAAGGACCGGCUAAUUCCGUG